rnacentral:lncRNA from 1 species
UUGGAACCAGUCUGUUGUUCCAUGUCCAGUUCUGUUGCUUCCUGACCUGCCUAUUAUCGAGGCACUAAUCUGAUAUUCCGAAGCUAGCUACUUAACUCCCUCCCACCAGCACCUCUGCACACUUAAAUUUUUAAGUAGAAUCAUUGUAUCCACUUCAAUACCUAUUUUAUACACAGUUGCUUCUUAGUGUCAUCUCCAAGAAUUUCACAUCUGAAAUUUAACUAUGAUUUUAAAAAUUUAUUGGUAAAAUUUCCAAAUACAGUGGCCAUCAACAAGGUGGGCGAGCUGUUCGUGAUUAUCAGAACAAUCUAGUUUUUCUUACUACUUGGAACCUAGAAAUUGUGCAUUUCAGAAAGGACAGCUUGACAUGUGUAAUUAAGAAAAACCUCGAAAGGUGACUGACUCCUGUCUGUGCCCAACACUGGGAACCAUGGCUCCUCUCCUCUGAUUUUUAUGAUCAAGCAAACAGAAAAUGUCCAAUAAAUUUUCAUUAUGAGGUGGUUUAGGAUUUCAUGGGUUCUGUUUAUGGAGGACUUUGUAAAUUUAAGUAUCACAUUUGGAGGGCUCUUUCUGUUUGGCAAGAACCUGAGGGACAAUGUCAUAGACUGAGAUUCUAGGGUGUUUUAAUACUGUCCUGAUUGUUUUAGCAGCUUCUUGUACACAAUCUUCUAAGCAACAAGAACAAAUCUGGCAUGCAAAACAUUAACUGAAAAGCAAGAAUGGCCUCCUUAUGCUGUGCGUAUCAUAACUCUGGUAAGUGGCUUUCAAUCUAUUCCCAUCUAAGGAUACCCACUGUUAACUAGUCCUAGCAGAGCAUAACAGAAUUAAGAACCUACAAAGUGCUGUCCUAGAUUGUGUAAUAUUCUUUCCAAAGAAUAUGCAAUUUCCCAAAUGGAAGAUCAGACAAUAACAAUGACCUUCUGUUAGUGUUGGUUCCUCAAUUGUGUUGUGGACUCCUUGCAACCCCACAGACUGUAGCCCACCAGGCUCCUCUGUCUAUGGAAUUCUCCAG